rnacentral:rRNA from 1 species
AUGCGUAGGAAGAGAAACCAAGUUGAUUGUGUUUUGAAUAUUUUGAUAUUUAAGAUUUUUUGCAACAUUUACCCCUAUAGGCUUCCUAGAAUAUCCGCUGCCGACCGUGAUCUCCGAUGCGUUUCGUUGUUGGCCGACAUGACGACGGAGAAGCCGGUCCCAGGCAUUCCCAAAUCGCGUGGUCUGAUGCCCAAUGUAGUUCUGAUCCUCUUGAAUUCGCCGUGCGCAUGGGGAGGAGAUGUUGCCCGCUGUGCGGUUGACUGCGAGGAGCUUGGGCUGUUAUUUGACUACUUCCGCGGACAGCAGCAACCUCUGUGA